CACCAGCCCCUCGAGUGGUGGGGAUGAUUAUUUGGCCUAAAGCGUCCGAAGCCGGCCGGGUAAGUUUCCCGUUAAAUCCAGCGUCUCAAGCGUUGGACUGCGGGAAAUACUGCCUGGCUAGAGAGUGGGAGAGGUCAGCGGUAUUCUGGGGGUAGGGGCGAAAUCCUUUGAUCCCCGGAGGACCACCAGUGGCGAAGGCUGCUGGCUAGAACACGUCUGACGGUCAGGGACGAAAGCUGGGGUAGCGAACCGGAUUAGAUACCCGGGUAGUCCCAGCCGUAAACGAUGCAUGCUAGGUGUUGGGUUGGCCACGAGCCACCCCAGUGCCGCAGGGAAGCCGUUAAGCAUGCCGCCUGGGAAGUACGAUCGCAAGAUUGAAACUUAAAGGAAUUGGCGGGGGAGCACCACCAGGCGUGAAGCCUGCGGUUU
rnacentral:rRNA from 1 species